UACGAAGGGGGCUAGCGUUGUUCGGAAUCACUGGGCGUAAAGGGCGCGUAGGCGGCCGCUCAAGUCGGGGGUGAAAGCCUGUGGCUUAACCACAGAAUUGCCUUCGAUACUGUUUGGCUUGAGACCGGAAGAGGUGAGUGGAACUGCGAGUGUAGAGGUGAAAUUCGUAGAUAUUCGCAAGAACACCAGUGGCGAAGGCGGCUUACUGGUCCGGAACUGACGCUGAGGUGCGAAAGCGUGGGGAGCAAACAGG
rnacentral:rRNA from 1 species